rnacentral:rRNA from 1 species
UACAGAGGGGGCAAGCGUUGUUCGGAAUUACUGGGCGUAAAGGGCGCGUAGGCGGCCUUCUAAGUCGAACGUGAAAUCCCCGGGCUCAACCCGGGAACUGCGUCCGAUACUGGCAGGCUUGAAUCCGGGAGAGGGAUGUGGAAUUCCAGGUGUAGCGGUGAAAUGCGUAGAUAUCUGGAGGAACACCGGUGGCGAAGGCGGCAUCCUGGACCGGUAUUGACGCUGAGGCGCGAAAGCGUGGGUAGCAAACAGG